rnacentral:lncRNA from 1 species
UGAAGACUCAACCAGCGAUUUCUCCCUCAUCGCUUACAGAGAAAAGCUGUGUGUGGUUUAUAUCGCGAAACCUAACAGUUUAGCUCGUCCCUUCGGGGACAUCCGAUAAAAUUGGAACGAUACAGAGAAGAUUAGCAUGGCCCCUGCGCAAGGAUGACACGCACAAAUCGAGAAAUGGUCCAAAUUUUUUUUGCCAUUUUUUCGAGCUCCAUUUUCAAUAUUUUUGGGGGUUUGAAGUCGCCUACCUGAGGUUACUCUCUCUGUAUGUGAUCAGUCUGAAAUUUUAGUUGCUGAGCUUAUUCUUUGUUCUGCAAUUCUGGACUUGAAAGAUUAGGUCAAAAUGAUAUCUUUUCAGAUUAUCUAGUAUCAAUUUACAUGUCUAAUACAUUCUGAAAUUGGUUAAAUGAAUGUUUUAAUUAUAUUGUUUGGCAUUAAGUACUAGAAGGAGAUUUCUGCUAUAUGGUGUAAUUACAUUCCGAAAUGAUUGUCUGAAGUUUUAUUUUGGUUAAUCUUAAUCUCUUCUGGUGGACUUAACUUGUGGAGGCUAUAUUGGAGUUUAAGUUUAAUUAGACUAUUAAGGAAAGAAAGUAUCCUUAGUAGUCUCCGAGGGCUCUUUUGGUUUGGGAACAAGUUAUCUCGGAUUAAUUAUCAUGUGAAUUAGUCAUCCAUGAUUGUUAUCCCAUAUAAAUAACACUACAAUCCGGGAUAAGUUAUCCCACGAUUUUAUGUUAACCAAAUAUGAGAUAAGUUCAUCCAAGAACUAAUCUCGCAAUUAGUUAUCCCUCGUACAAAUGAGCAAGGGAGAAAAAUUUUCUCUGCCAAAAAGUUGAAUUAUGUUAUGUGGUUUUACUUUGUGCUAAACUCAUAAUUCAGUGUUGAAUAUUUAUAAGUGGAGUCCAGCAAAAAUUGGUUGAAGAUGCAAUGCAAACCGAGUCUAACUGGCUUAUGUUCCAGAAGGAAUCAAUUUGAUAAAAUUUAGGAAGUUCUUAACCACUAGCUAAACUGUUGUGUGCUAGCUCUUACUUUUGUGCAUUUUCCUGUCAGUUCUCGGGAGUGGAAGGUUCUACUACCUAAAUACAAUGAAAAUUGGUAUAAUGCUAUUACCCAAUUUAUGAAUCUUGUAAUGAGAUAUGCCUUACAAUAAACAAAAUGAAUUCUUGUUUUGCCUAGAUCAUUAUGGAUGACUUGACAAUUCCAAUUUGAAUCAACCAAUCCUUGUAUACCUAGUGCUAAAAUAGGUCAGAUUUAAUAAGAUUCUUUUGCUCUUGCAGAAAUCACUAUUAGGCAUGGACUUGAAGCGCAAAAAAUGGUUCUUGGGGAAUGAAAGCAAAGCCUGAUUGUGCUUGCAAUUAAGUCAUUAUAAAUUGGUUGUAGAAAAUAAAAGGAAGGACAGACACUGAAUGAAGAUCUAGAAAUCUUGCGCUUUGAAACUCUCAAGUCUCUUUUCAGAUGCACUUUUUUUAAACAUAAAUUCUUGUAGUUAAGUUGAGUGUCUAAAUGUAGCAUUUAUAAAUGUGUAAUCAUUUGCAGAUUUUGGUUAUUGUGGAGAAAACCAACUUCAUCUUCUGCAGAACCACUUUUGCAGCGUCACUUCCGGGUAGUCACUUGUUGUUGUACAGAUUUAUAUAUACGGUAGAUUUAUUCACAGGUAAAUUCUCCAGAUACAUUCCUGAUGCAUGUAUGCUCUUCGCGUGGAUAGGGAAAUUUUGCACUUGAACAUUAUUAAGGUAACAUGUGGUUUCUUUAACUCCAGAGAAAUUUGAGUUCUACGCAAUCCCUUAAUUCCGUAGAGGUUACAAGGUUUUGAGUCUACCACCCCUAGACAAGUAGCUUAAUUUUGAAUUCAAACGCCAUAUUUACAUUUUACGUGUCACCGUUCUGCCAAAUUAAAUCCCAUAGUUAGGUAGAAAAAGAACGAGUCGUUAGAAUUUUAAACACUCAUGGAUCAUCAGAUCACAGUUGUUUGGCCACAAAUCUCUAUGAAUUGCUAAGAUUACGGC